rnacentral:rRNA from 1 species
UACGUAGGGUGCGAGCGUUAAUCGGAAUUACUGGGCGUAAAGCGUGCGCAGGCGGUUCGUUGUGUCGGUGGUGAAAUCCCCGGGCUUAACCUGGGAAUGGCCAUGGAAACUGGCGGACUGGAGUGCGGCAGAGGGGGGUGGAAUUCCGCGUGUAGCAGUGAAAUGCGUAGAGAUGCGGAGGAACACCGAUGGCGAAGGCAGCCCCCUGGGCUAGCACUGACGCUCAGGCACGAAAGCGUGGGGAGCAAACAGG